rnacentral:rRNA from 1 species
UACAGAGGUCUCGAGCGUUAGGCGGAAUCACUGGGCUUAAAGCGUGUGUAGGUGGAUCGUUAAGUACCUUGUGAAAUCCCACGGCUUAACCGUGGAACUGCUUGGUAUACUGGCGGUCUUGAGUCAGCUAGGGGCUACCGGAACAAAUGGUGGAGCGGUGAAAUGCGUAGAUAUUGGGAGGAACACCGGUGGCGAAGGCGGCCCCCUGGACCGGUACUGACGCUGAGGCGCGAAAGCGUGGGUAGCAAACGGG